CGUCAGUAUUCUGGAUUUUUCUGUUGUCUUUGGCUACCUGUUGCUCUCUCGGGGACUAGUUUAAGUUUGGCCACUUCACUCAUCAACUGAAAGUGAAAGUGAAGUUACAAUCUGGGCUAAUACACACAAGUAAAACCACAAAUAUGAUGCAGCUUUCUCCUCAUAAAAUUAGGAGAAAGAUCGCCUGUCGACCCUCUGCAGUCAGCCGAGUGUGGGAUAAAUUGAAGAUUGAUGAUGAUCUGCCUGGCUCCCUGCAUGCCAACUAAGAAGCCUGUUGACAGUUGCGUCGACUCUCCCUACUUGGCAUCAGAGGAGCCAUGCAGCUCCACCAAUCAGAGCACUGUAGAAAGAAACAGGGGAGAAAUUUAUCUGCCAAAAAAACAGAGUAGCUGCCUUGAUCUUGCCUUAAUUACUCUAUGAAUUAUCAACAGUUAAGAAUUUUCAUUUCAAAGAGAAUUAUGUAUACUUCCCCUUAUAUUUGAAAUUUAGAUGUAAA